rnacentral:rRNA from 1 species
UACAGAGGGGGCAAGCGUUGUUCGGAAUUACUGGGCGUAAAGGGCGCGUAGGCGGCCGCCUAAGUCAGACGUGAAAUCCCUCGGCUCAACCGGGGAACUGCGUCUGAUACUGGAUGGCUUGAAUUCGGGAGAGGGAUGCAGAAUUCCAGGUGUAGCGGUGAAAUGCGUAGAUAUCUGGAGGAAUACCGGUGGCGAAGGCGGCAUCCUGGACCGAGAUUGACACUGAGGAGCGAAAGCUAGGGGAGCAAACGGG